AUGAAAUAAAAUAUAACUCAAACAUAGCGAGAAAAAUAACUCUAGUUUGGAAAUAAUUGAUAUGCCAAUAGAGGGACUAACUACAGAAUAGAUUCAGCCCGGUGACGCUGAACGCCGUUACUAUGCAACCAGCUGUGUACGUUGCCGAAUGCUUCCUGAUAACGUUUUGCUAUUCACUGCCAGAGCCAUAGUUAUAUUUGUAGUAGAUUAGUACCAUCAUUUGUUUUUGCCUUAGAAAAUAAACGACAAACUUAUUAUCACAGUCAUGUUUUGGGUUAGCAGACGAAGCCCCCAAAUGCUAGCUAGCUACCUCAUUUGCAAAUCCGGAGGACCUGAGCCCUAGGACCAUGCUUCAGGACUACCUGGCAUGAUGACUCCUUGCUGUCUCCAGUCCACCUGGUUGUGCUGCAGUUUCAACCUUUCUGCCUGUGGCUAUGGAACCCUGACCUGUUCACCGGAUAAGCUACCUUGUCCCAGACCUACUGUUAUUCUCUCUCUCUCUCUCUACCACACCUGCUGUCUCUAACUCUGAAUGAUCCGCUAUGAAAAGCCAACAGACAUUUUCUCCUGAGGUGCUGACCUGUUGCACCUUCUACAACCACUGUGAUUAUUAUUAUCUAACCCUGCUGGUCAUCUAUGAACUUUUGAACAUCUUGGUCAUGUUCUGUUAUAAUCUCCACCCGGCACAGCCAGAAGAGGAAUGGCCACCCCUCAGAGCCUGAUUCCUGUCUAGGUUUCGGCCUUUCUAGGGAGUUUUUCCUAGACACCAUGCUUCUACAUCUGUAUUGCUUGCUGUUUGGGGUUCUAGGCUGAGUUUCUGUAUAGCACUUUAUGACAUCAGCUGAUGUAAAAAGGGCUUUAUAAAUAAAUCGGAUUGAUUGAUACAAUAUCAGUACUUUUUACAUUUACAACUUUUCUAAGUCAAUAUCAUCAACUGAUUUCAGCCAGUGUAUGGACGUGGAUUGACUGCAUUGUUUCAAUGGAAGGUUGGCGUAUUGUCAGUUAAUUUGAACAAUUUAUGGAAUUUGUCCUCAAACUGUCUGGCUAGCAUACAGUGGAGAUACAUUCUUGAAAUGCAUUAUUUUAUUUAUAUCUUAUCACAGCUUUGGCAAACCAUGGUUUAGCAACUCCCUGACCAAAAUGGCUGACCUUUAUUCCAUCAUAAGGGUCCCAUCAUAAGAAUGUUAAUGACCAUUCUAGUAAUUCUAGUUCCUAAUUAAAUCAGAAUAAAAUCAAAUUUUAUUGGUCAUAUACACAUUGUUAGCAAAUGUUAUUGCGAGUGUAGUGAAAUGCUUGUGCUUUUAGUUCCGACAGUGCAGCAAUAUCUAACAAGUAAUCUAACAAUUCCACAACAACUACCUAAUACACACAAAUCUAAGCAAAGGGAUGGAAUAAGAAUAUGUUCAUAUAAAUAUAUGGAUGAGCAAUGACCGAGCAGCAUAGGCAAGAUGCAAUAGAUUAUAUAAAAUACAGUAUAUAAAUAUGGGAUGAGUAAUGCAAGAUAUGUAAACAUCAUUAUUAAAGUGGCAUUGCUAAAGUGA